rnacentral:rRNA from 1 species
AUUGAACGCUGGCGGCAGGCCUAACACAUGCAAGUCGAGCGGUAGAGAGGUGCUUGCAUCUCUUGAGAGCGGCGGACGGGUGAGUAAUGCCUAGGAAUCUGCCUAGUGGUGGGGGAUAACGUUCGGAAACGGACGCUAAUACCGCAUACGUCCUACGGGAGAAAGCGGGGGGAUCUUCGGACCUCGCGCCAUUAGAUGAGCCUAGGUCGGAUUAGCUAGUUGGUGAGGUAAUGGCUCACCAAGGCGACGAUCCGUAACUGGUCUGAGAGGAUGAUCAGUCACACUGGAACUGAGACACGGUCCAGACUCCUACGGGAGGCAGCAGUGGGGAAUAUUGGACAAUGGGCGAAAGCCUGAUCCAGCCAUGCCGCGUGUGUGAAGAAGGUCUUCGGAUUGUAAAGCACUUUAAG